rnacentral:rRNA from 1 species
CCUACGGGUGGUGCAGUGGGGAAUGUUGCACAAUGGGCGCAAGCCUGAUGCAGCCAUGCCGCGUGUGUGAAGAAGGCCUUCGGGUUGUAAAGCACUUUCAGCGGGGAGGAAGGCGGUGAGGUUAAUAACCUCAUCGAUUGACGUUACCCGCAGAAGAAGCACCGGCUAACUCCGUGCCAGCAGCCGCGGUAAUACGGAGGGUGCAAGCGUUAAUCGGAAUUACUGGGCGUAAAGCGCACGCAGGCGGUCUGUCAAGUCGGAUGUGAAAUCCCCGGGCUCAACCUGGGAACUGCAUUCGAAACUGGCAGGCUAGAGUCUUGUAGAGGGGGGUAGAAUUCCAGGUGUAGCGGUGAAAUGCGUAGAGAUCUGGAGGAAUACCGGUGGCGAAGGCGGCCCCCUGGACAAAGACUGACGCUCAGGUGCGAAAGCGUGGGGAGCAAACAGGAUUAGAUACCCCUGUAGUC